rnacentral:rRNA from 1 species
CCCCCCAAGGCUAAAUACUCCUUAGUGACCGAUAGCGCAUAGUACUGUGAAGGAAAGGUGAAAAGGACCCCGGGAGGGGAGUGAAAGAGAACCUGAAACCCUGUGUUUACAAGCUGUGGGAGCACCUUAUGAGUGCGACCGCGUACUUUUUGUAGAACGGUCCGGCGAGUUACGCUGGCUGGCGAGGUUAAACGGUAGAGCCGUGGAGCCGAAGGGAAACCAAGUCUUAAGAGGGCGGAUAAGUCAGUCAGAGUAGACCCGAAACCGGGUGAUCUAUCCAUGUCCAGGUUGAAGUUGCCGUAAAAGGCAAUGGAGGACCGAACCCACAUCCGUUGAAAAGGGUGGGGAUGAGGUGUGGAUAGGGGAGAAAUUCCAAUCGAACCCGGAGAUAGCUGGUUCUCCUCGAAAUAGCUUUAGGGCUAGCCUCGAUAGAGUCUUGCGGAGGUAGAGCACUGAAUUUCCUAGGGGGCGUCAAAGCUUACCGAAGAAUAUCAAACUCCGAAUGCCGUGUAGAUGCUUAUCGGGAGUCAGACUAUACGAGAUAAGUUGGAUAGUCAAAAGGGAAAGAGCCCAGACCUCCAGCUAAGGUCCCAAAGUACGUGUUAAGUGGAAAAGGAUGUGGGAUUUCAAAGACAACCAGGAUGUUGGCUCAGAAGCAGCCAUACAUUCAAAGAGUGCGUAAUAGCUCACUGGUCGAGAGGUCCUGCGCCGAAAAUGUCCGGGGCUGAAACACGACACCGAAGCUGAGGAAUGUCUGAAGACAUUGGUAGAGGAGCAUUGGAUACG